CGUAGAGAAAUCGAGUCUUAAUAGGGCGUUUAGUUGCUGGGUAUAGACCCGAAACCAGGCGAUCUAUCCAUGAGCAGGUUGAAGGUUGGGUAACACUAACUGGAGGACCGAACCCACUGUCGUUGAAAAGCCAGGGGAUGACUUGUGGAUAGGGGUGAAAGGCUAAUCAAGCCUGGUGAUAGCUGGUUCUCCCCGAAAGCUAUUUAGGUAGCGCCUCGGACGAAUACCAUAGGGGGUAGAGCACUGUUUCGGCUAGGGGGUCAUCCCGACUUACCAAACCGAUGCAAACUCCGAAUACCUAUGAGUACUAUCCGGGAGACAGACUGCGGGUGCUAACGUCCGUAGUCAAGAGGAAAACAAUCCAGACCGCCAGCUAAGGCCCCAAAAUCAUAGUUAAGUGGGAAACGAUGUGGGAAGGCAUAGACAGCUAGGAGGUUGGCUUAGAAGCAGCCACCCUUUAAAGAAAGCGUAAUAGCUCACUAGUCGAGUCGGCCUGCGCGG
rnacentral:rRNA from 1 species